UCCGAGUUGACCCCGGCAGUCUUCUAUGAGUCCCCGCCAUUACGCGCUGGCAACAUAGAACGAGGGUUGCGCUCGUUGCGGGACUUAACCCAACAUCUCACGACACGAGCUGACGACAACCAUGCACCACCUGUAUACCGACCUUGCGGGGCACCCAUCUCUGGGUGUUUCCGGUAUAUGUCAAGCCUUGGUAAGGUUCUUCGCGUUGCAUCGAAUUAAUCCGCAUGCUCCGCCGCUUGUGCGGGCCCCCGUCAAUUCCUUUGAGUUUUAGCCUUGCGGCCGUACUCCCCAGGCGGGGCGCUUAAUGCGUUAGCUGCGGCACGGAACUCGUGGAAUGAGUCCCACACCUAGCGCCCAACGUUUACGGCAUGGACUAC
rnacentral:misc_RNA from 1 species